rnacentral:rRNA from 1 species
GAUGAACGCUGGCGGCGUGCCUAAUACAUGCAAGUCGAGCGAACAGACGAGGAGCUUGCUCCUCUUCCGUUAGCGGCGGACGGGUGGGUAACUCGUAGAUAACCAACCUAUAAGCAUGGGAUAACUUCGGGACACCGGCGAUAACACAGGAUAAUAUAUUGACACGCAUGGUUUAAUAGUGAAAGACGACUUUGGUGUCUACUUUAGAUCGAUCCGCGCCGCAUUAGCUAGUUGGUAAGGUACCGGCUUACAAAGGCAACGUGGCGUAGCCGACCUAUAAGGUGAAUCGGCCACACUGGAACGGGACCACGUUCCAGACUCCUACGGAAGGCGGCGUUGGGGAAUCUUCGGCAAUGGGCGAAAGCUGGACGGAGCAACGCGGCGGGAUUGAGGAAGGUCUGCGGAUCUUAAAACUCGUUAAUUAGGAAAAAACAAAAGUGUAAGUAACUAUACACGUCUUGACGGUACCUAAUCAGAAAGCCACGGCUAACUACGUG